rnacentral:rRNA from 1 species
UACGUAGGGUCCGAGCGUUAAUCGGAAUUACUGGGCGUAAAGCGUGCGCAGGCGGUUUUGUAAGGCAGAUGUGAAAUCCCCGGGCUUAACCUGGGAACUGCAUUUGGGACUGCAAGGCUCGAGUACGGCAGAGGGAUGCGGAAUUCCAGGUGUAGCGGUGAAAUGCGUAGAUAUCUGGAGGAACACCGGUGGCGAAGGCGGCAUCCUGGACCAAUAUUGACGCUGAGGAGCGAAAGCUAGGGGAGCAAACGGG